UACGGGAGGGGCAAGCGUUGUUCGGAAUUACUGGGCGUAAAGGGCUCGUAGGCGGCCAACUAAGUCGGAUGUGAAAUCCCCAGGCUCAACCUGGGAACUGCAUCCGAUACUGGAUGGCUUGAAUUCGGGAGAGGGAUGCAGAAUUCCAGGUGUAGCGGUGAAAUGCGUAGAUAUCUGGAGGAAUACCGGUGGCGAAGGCGGCAUCCUGGACCGACAUUGACGCUGAGGAGCGAAAGCCAGGGGAGCAAACGGG
rnacentral:rRNA from 1 species